rnacentral:tRNA from 2 species
GGUGCGAUACCCAAGUGGUCCAAGGGGAUGGUCUGCAAAACCAUUAUUCGCGGGUUCGAAUCCCGCUCGCACCUCCA